CCUACGGGAGGCAGCAGUAGGGAAUAUUGCGCAAUGGGGGAAACCCUGACGCAGCAACGCCGCGUGAGUGAGGAAGGUCUUCGGAUUGUAAAACUCUGUUCUUAGAGAAAAAUGUGCUUGGAGCUAAUACCCCAAGUAUUGAUGGUAUCUAAGGAGAAAGGACCGGCUAACUUCGUGCCAGCAGCCGCGGUAAU
rnacentral:rRNA from 1 species